rnacentral:rRNA from 1 species
AACGAACGCUGGCGGCAGGCUUAACACAUGCAAGUCGAGCGCCCCGCAAGGGGAGCGGCAGACGGGUGAGUAACGCGUGGGAAUCUACCCAUCUCUACGGAAUAACGCAUGGGAACGUGUGCUAAUACCGUAUACGUCCUUCGGGAGAAAGAUUUAUCGGAGAUGGAUGAGCCCGCGUUGGAUUAGCUAGUUGGUGGGGUAAAGGCCUACCAAGGCGACGAUCCAUAGCUGGUCUGAGAGGAUGAUCAGCCACACUGGGACUGAGACACGGCCCAGACUGCUACGGGAGGCAGCAGUGGGGAAUAUUGGACAAUGGGGGCAAGCCUGAUCCAGCCAUGCCGCGUGAGUGAUGAAGGCCCUAGGGUUGUAAAGCUCUUCCACCGGUGAAGAUAAUGACGGUAACCGGAGAAGAAGCCCCGGCUAACUUCGUGCCAGCCGCCGCCGUAACAC